UUGUGCGAGAUAAAUUCAAUACAUAUUCGUACAUCACAAUAACAAGAGACAAGAAAGUGCUUUCACCUUGUCUAGUUAUAGCAAUUGCAAAGAGUUAUGGACAGAUAUGUCUCUUUUCUUCGUCCACACUCCACAAAGUUUAGUUCUGCAACAACAGAAAGAAAUGUUGCGCAUAAAAAACGUAUUGAAGAGGAGUAUAUAUUGAAAAUGCCACAUUUCUUGAAUACCAAUCUCCAAAUAUUUUAAUUAUUACGCAUUAUAAACUGAAACUGUAUAUCAAGUAUAAGCAAAAGUAAUAUUAAAGCUAAUUUGUAAUAGUCAAAUCCCUUUUCCAAAUCAGCCUACAGAAUAUUGAUUCCUAUAAGUUGCACCUAAAGAAUUCAUGGUUUUGAUAGAGACCACAGUGCCGAAUGCUGAAAUGUGAAGCAAGGAUAUCAAGUUCACGACAUAUGUAUGAAGAGAAAGUUCAUAUUCACACACGAAGAAUACUGAAAUCAAGAAACUAGAAAUUGACAUCAUAACGCAACUAAUUGAUGCUUAAGUAGUUAUAAAGAGAAAAUACACUAAAUGCUUACGGUUUCGCGUAUAUCCAAUUCAAUCUGGUAUUCUCAUGCAGUACUACUGUAUUUAAUUACCUAAAUGAGUUUAAUGACGGGAAAAGAACAGCAAGUGGAAAUGAUGAUAUUCCAUCAUGACCAGCUCCUUGCACGUUCAGGAUUUUCAUAACUAAGUUCUAAAUCUCAACAAUCUCAAAAGACGUGACCUUCUUUCAACAAACAAUAAAAAUGGUCCUCAUUGAGAACAAUGCAUCUUUUCAGUUCCACCUUCAACCCUUCUUGGACUUAUAAGUCCUAACUGGCAGAAUUUGAUCACUAGUCGCAUGAUGCAGCGUACUAGGAAGCUCCUUCUUCAGAUAAACACUCAAAUAGUUAAAUCUUUACAAUUCAUAAUUUUUAAAUUUUGACAAGACAUGAAUUAUAUAGAAGUUGUUUCCUGCAUUGGCAUCAAAGUAGGGAUAUCUUUUGUAUUGGGAUUUUGACCCAUGCUACCAUGCAACUUAUGCAAUCAACCCCAUACAACAUGUAUAUUUGUGCACAAUUGCCUUACCACUUAUAGCAUAAAACCAAAGCAAGAGGCAGAAUUUGCACUAGUUAUAUUUAAAAGUAAGUAUCAAGAAACAAUUGAACAUGUCCUCAAAAGAAAGCAUGGGAUACCCUCUGCACCAAGUGGACUCCUCUCAGACAGCCAUGAGACUCAUCGAAUUCAAUUAAUUAUAGUCCAUUAACUUCUGUUGAUGUUGUCAAACUAAACUCUGAUGAAUGCCUCAAAGGGAACUCAAAUCUAGUUGUAGGUGGGGGUGUGAUAAGAAUCAUGUAGGUAAGGUUCUCCUUGCAUGUUAUGACUUCUAUGACUUAUGUUUUUCUUAAGCUAUGCGAUCAAUCUGGAUACAGCCCAAAAAUGGGCAGAGAUUGAUUCACUUUUCCAAUGUAAAAUAAAUAAAUAAAAAUAAAAAAGGAAGGCAUAGAUGAACCUCAGAAAGUGCAAUACUAUUUAGAAGAAAUUCACCACUGGGAGAGUAGACUCAACAUUCAGUUUUUCCAUAUUUGGCGAGAAGGCAGUACAUUUGCCUACCAUUUAGCUAAUACGGGGAUACAAAUAUAUAAAGUUCAAGCUUUCAAUAACAAGAGUUAACUGCUGAGAUUAAUGUAUUGCUUAGAAUAGAUAAAUGUGGUUUCUCAAGCAUAAGGAUGUAAGUGACCUUAGUUUCUUGUUCCUUUAUUCUCUUACUUGCAAACAUAACUCAAGUAUAGACUAGGUUUCUUUCCUAAAAUUUUGUUAUAUUUCCAAGAAGGCAAGGUUCAUUGAAGUCCAACUCCUUUGUAAAAUUUAGCCAAUCAAUAUACUAGGCGAUGGGGCAAAGCCAACUCCCCAUUUUGUUAAGGUAAGAGGCCUAAAGAACAUUACAUUAUCUAGAAUGGACUUCACCAAAAAAUAAAAAAAUAAAAAUAAGAGGAAGAAGGUAUCAAGGACCAAAAGCUCAUUGAAAAUCGAAUAAGAUUCAUCUUAUAGCAAUUACAGAUUUAUAACAAGAAUCAAGUAAUAUGGGACCUCAUUGGAAAACAUCAAAGUCGUCUGAUACAAAGAAAACUUAAAUCCAUUUUACCAUUAUCUCAGGUCAUUCAAGGGGAAGAAAAAGCAUCUGAUCAAACCGCAUUCAUUUUCAGCACAGAAGAAUAAGAAGAAAACCAAUCACAAAAACACAUGGUAAAAAUCAACCAAGAUGUAAAUUCCUGCCUUACAUUCCGCAAGCUUAGAUAGUUUUUGCGAGGUCUGGUGAAUCCCGAGCCCGAUCUUGGAUGCCUUACGAUUGAAUUAACUAAAAUAAUAUAAUUUUUCUGAAAAAAAGGAAACAUAAUCUUUUCAACAACUGCCGAAUAUGGGAUAAUAUAUUCAGAAGAGUUAAUAAACAUAAUCUUUUAAUAUAUUUUCACAGACAACAACAAUUUCACAUCAUCAACCAUUUCUUUCUAAUUUAAAAACAAUAACCCACAAGCAAUAUAGAAUAUAUUCGAAAAAGGGCUCACAAAAUUGCUUUGAAUUAAUAAACAAGAAGACCUGAACUGUGUGAG
rnacentral:lncRNA from 1 species